UACAGAGGUGGCAAGCGUUGUUCGGAAUUACUGGGCGUAAAGGGCGCGUAGGCGGUUCGUUAAGUCCUGUGUGAAAUCCCACGGCUCAACCGUGGAACGGCUGGGUAUACUGGCGGUCUUGGGCCAUUCAGGGGCGACUGGAACAAGCGGUGGAGCGGUGAAAUGCGUAGAUAUCGCUUGGAACGCCGAAGGUGAAAACAGGUCGCUGGGGAUGUGCCGACGCUGAGACACGAAAGCCAGGGGAGCAAACGGG
rnacentral:rRNA from 1 species